UAUGAAGAACGCAGCGAAAUGCGAUAAGUAAUGUGAAUUGCAGAAUUCAGUGAAUCAUCGAAUCUUUGAACGCACAUUGCGCCCGCCAGUAUUCUGGCGGGCAUGCCUGUCUGAGCGUCAUUUCAACCCUCAUGCCCCUAGGGCGUGGUGUUGGGGAUCGGCCAAAGCCCGCGAGGGACGGCCGGCCCCUAAAUCUAGUGGCGGACCCGUCGUGGCCUCCUCUGCGAAGUAGUGAUAUUCCGCAUCGGAGAGCGAUGAGCCCCUGCCGUUAAACCCCCAACUUUCCAAGGUUGACCUCAGAUCAGGUAGGAAUACCCGCUGAACUUAAGCAUAUCAAUAAGCGGAGGA
rnacentral:misc_RNA from 1 species